CCAAGAAGCCUUCUCUGGCCUGCAGGACUGGGCUGGUAGAGCCUUUUGAGGAUUCCCAAGCAGUGCGGGCUGGUCCCUAACAUCCCAUUGGCUAUGCUGGAUUACAACUGCCUGUGGCUGGUCUGGCUUUCCCAUCAGCCUGCAUUCCAGGAGAGACAGGGAAUGGGGUGCCAGCGAGUCCUGUCCUCUAGCUGUGAGUUUUGAGUUGAGAAGUAAGCACAAGAAUCAGGUCUGCAGGGCGGCUGUGGCUCUGCUGGCCCUGGCUGUGCUUGGCUCUGGAAUCUGACUCUCCCUCAGGUCUGUUCCCCAAAUUUUCUCAUCCCAGGACAAGGCUGAAGGAGUCUCCAAGGUUGCCACAAAUGGACAGCUCUUCUAGAAGCUUUGAACCUGUAUGCCACAUCCAUUCAGAUUCCACUGACCACAGCAAGUCACAUAGCCAAGCCUGUCAUCCAAGGUGUGGACGGUGUCUGCUCCCAUGGGGGUGAGGGCUUUAGAGAGUGGACAUCUGCUGGACAAUAAUACAGUUUUGCCUAGUGAGAGGUCUGGUAACCUCUGUGGCCAGUGACGACAUUGGAACCCAUUUCCGAGCUGCCAGCCUGUGAUUUCUCCUGAGGCUCUCCUUCACUGCAGG
rnacentral:lncRNA from 12 species